CUACGUGCCAGCAGCCGCGGUAAUACGGAAGGUCCAGGCGUUAUCCGGAUUUAUUGGGUUUAAAGGGAGCGUAGGCGGAUUGUUAAGUCAGCGGUUAAAGGGUGUGGCUCAACCAUGCAUUGCCGUUGAAACUGGCGAUCUUGAGUGCAGACAGGGAUGCCGGAAUUCGUGGUGUAGCGGUGAAAUGCUUAGAUAUCACGAAGAACUCCGAUCGCGAAGGCAGGUGUCCGGGCUGCAACUGACGCUGAGGCUCGAAGGUGCGGGUAUCGAACAGGAUUAGAUACCCUGGUAGUCCGCACAGUAAACGAUGGAUGCCCGCUGUUGGUACUUGGUAUCAGCGGCUAAGCGAAAGCAUUAAGUAUACCACCUGGGGAGUACGCCGGCAACGGUGAAACUCAAAGGAAUUGACGGGGGCCCGCACAAGCGGAGGAACAUGUGGUUUAAUUCGAUGAUACGCGAGGAACCUUACCCGGGCUUGAACUAACGGUGACGAAUCUAGAGAUAG
rnacentral:rRNA from 1 species